CGAACGCUGGCGGCGUGCUUAACACAUGCAAGUCGAACGGUGAAGCACCUUCCUUUUGGUGGGUGUGGAUGAGUGGCGAACGGGUGAGUAACACGUGAGUAACCUGCCCCCUUCUUCUGGAUAACCGCAUGAAAGUGUGGCUAAUACGGGAUAUUCUGCGCCUGCUGCAUGGUGGGUGUGGGAAAGAUAUUGUUUCGGUGGGGGAUGGGCUCGCGGCCUAUCAGCUUGUUGGUGGGGUGAUGGCCUACCAAGGCGGUGACGGGUAGCCGGCCUGAGAGGGUGGACGGUCACACUGGGACUGAGACACGGCCCAGACUCCUACGGGAGGCAGCAGUGGGGAAUAUUGCACAAUGGGCGCAAGCCUGAUGCAGCGACGCCGCGUGAGGGAUGGAGGCCUUCGGGUUGURAACCUCUUUCGCCAGUGAAGCAGGCCUGUCCCUUUUGUGGGUGGGUUGACGGUAGCUGGAUAAGAAGCGCCGGCUAACUACGUGCCAGCAGCCGCGGUAAUACGUAGGGCGCGAGCGUUGUCCGGAAUUAUUGGGCGUAAAGAGCUCGUAGGCGGCUGGUC
rnacentral:rRNA from 1 species